rnacentral:rRNA from 1 species
AACGAACGCUGGCGGCAGGCUUAACACAUGCAAGUCGAGCGCCCCGCAAGGGGAGCGGCAGACGGGUGAGUAACGCGUGGGAACGUACCCUUUACUACGGAAUAACUCAGGGAAACUUGUGCUAAUAACGUAUGGGCCCUUUGGGGGAAAGAUUUAUCGGUAAAGGAUCGGCCCGCGUUGGAUGAGCUAGUUGGUGGGGUAAAGGCCUACCAAGGCGACGAUCCAUAGCUGGUCUGAGAGGAUGAUCAGCCACAUUGGGACUGAGACACGGCCCAAACUCCUACGGGAGGCAGCAGUGGGGAAUAUUGGACAAUGGGCGCAAGCCUGAUCCAGCCAUGCCGCGUGAGUGAUGAAGGCCUUAGGGUUGUAAAGCUCUUUCACCGGUGAAGAUAAUGACGGUAACCGGUGAAGAAGCCCCGGCUAACUUCGUGCCAGCCGCCGCCGUAA